UGAGACCGUGGACAUUUGGCUCAGCUGCGUGAACAAUACUCCAAACAAGGAACCUUCGAACUGAGACACUGAACCUGUAACUCUCAGCCGCCUUAGUCCUGCUCGCCUCGCCACUGCCGCGUGGUUACGUCAAGACAGCGGGCGGCCGCGUACUAGUUUCCUUAGUACUUGUGCGUACGUGUCAAUACCGUGUGCUGUAAACUGCUGAACGAACUGAGAUACUCAUUCAGUUUUGGUCGCCUCUCCAUUAUCUCGUGGUGACGUAAAGGUGACGGCCCGUGUGUUAGUUUUCCCGGUAAUUGUGCCUCCGUAACAUUACUGUGUGCAGUGGUCGUGAGAACUGCGAGGCGGCGGUGCAGACUGUGCCGUGGAGAGCCGCGGGGUGUUGGAAUCGCCUCUCAGUCACCUUGAAGGCGUCAUAUUCCCUCCCUGCUCUUCCCCGUGUCUUCCUGUCGAUGUUGGCGCCAUGUUCGACCAGGAUUCCAGGGUGAUCCAGAGCGCCUUCCUGCACGCCAUCCAGCACUACAGUCAAAACACCGCGGGCAGGAGGCUUCAGCUUCACGCCUUUGUGGGCAUCAUCAGUAUGGCGGAUGCCUUCAAGAUAUCCAGACUGAGUGAUGUCACAGAGAGCAAGUAGAAGAAAACCUGGGAGACUUGCAAGAGCCGCACCUCACCGGGGCUCUGCAAUGUGUGGCAGCGACUGCAGGAAUCAACACUUCGGUUUGUCAGCACACAGUUUCAGCAACCUUGUUCAUCAGACUGUUGGUGAAAGGUGAUCACUAUGAAAGAGGUCAAGACUCCACAGACCGACUGGGAGACAUGACGUCAGUGCCACCACGCAGGGAGUAAAACCAAGAGGAGGAAGAGGAGCAUUCAUGAGACAUCAGCUGGUCAGCAGUCCAUUCAGUUUGUGGCCCUGAUUUGUAAGUGCCAGGAAGACCAUGGUGAAGGCAGCCCACAAACCUUCCGUUGGACAUGAGUGGUGAACGGCAGUGAAAAUAUGGCAGUAUCUGAUUCUUUGCACCAAAACACAGUGUGCUUAUUAACAGAUUUAUUCACUGUUCACUCAUUUGCUCAUCUCUAAAGGAGUGAAGAGUGUGCACUGAAUUUCACAAGAGGAAGUGAAGGAUGAAGCAUGAAGGUUUUAGGCCAAAAUGAACAGACAGCAAUCAGGAAUGACACGUCCAGCAAAACCGGCAACACAGCAACACACACACACACCCAGGCUUACAAGUUGAUAAUCCAAAAGCCAGCAGAUGACAGCUUCCUUCCAGCACACACUUGUAUCGCCCAACUUGACCUGCCUGAAUACAAGCUGAUACAGUCCAUGCAGCAGAGUAAAGAGUGCAGCCUCUACAAGUGGUGGAGGGCAUGGACACUUGGAUAUGGAUGACACUGGUUUGGGUGCCAAAUAUUAAUAGUGCACCUACACAAUUACCACACUCGCUCCUCUCACCAGGCUUAACUAUAAAUAAUUAAAGGUAAAUAACAUCUGUCAUCUAUUAUCUAUUGUAUUCUAUAUUGCUGUUAAUGUUUCAUGUAUAAUGUCUUUGCUUUCAAAUGCAAGUCAAAAGGGUGAACCCCAUUUAUAGUACUAUUCACGUUUGGCAAAUUUCACUUUUGACAUUGGUUUGGCUACACUAAUUGAACUGCUAACAGUGAGGGACUACUGUAAAUGUAGUAAUAAUUAUAAUAAUAAUAAUAAUAAUAAUAAUAAUAAUAAUAAUAAUAAUAAUAAAAAGUAAUGAUAAAG